UGUGGGGUCCAUGGCCGCCCUCAGCCGGCCUGCUCCCGGGACCGGGGCGGGGCGGGGCGGGGCGGCGCAGCUCCGGCUGUUGUUUGAGCCCAGGCCGGCAAGGGGAACGGCCCUUAAGUUUUAACGCCUCAUUUUUCAGUCGGAUUUUCCUUCUUCCCGCUUGUUCAGCCAAUUGUUUUUAAGUUUGCGUUUAAGGAGAAACUGACAAUGAGAAUGGACUCGUUGACGGAGGAAAAGUUGGAAUGCAGACUCUGGUGCUGUUUGAGCGACCCCUCUCCCCCGGGCCUGGCUGCGCGCUGCUGUGUUCUGGAAAGGAGCAUAGUACCGUCGUUGCGGCAGGUGGUGUUGAGUGUGUAUUCGUGUGGCCCCUCCCUUGUGUGUAAGCCUCGAAAAUGGAUAGGUGAAAGGAGAUACGCGCCAGGGCUGCUCCCCGGAAAGAUCACGAAUCCUAUCCAUCUUCUUCACCGAUAUGGUUUGUGGAUUCUGAAGACCCAAAUCUGACAUCAGUUCUGGAACGUCUAGAAGAUACUAAGAACAACAAUUUGCUUCGUCA
rnacentral:lncRNA from 1 species